UACGUAGGGUGCAAGCGUUGUCCGGAAUUAUUGGGCGUAAAGAGCUCGUAGGCGGUUUGUCGCGUCUGCUGUGAAAACUGGAGGCUCAACCUCCAGCCUGCAGUGGGUACGGGGCAAACUAGAGUGCGGUAGGGGGAGAUUGGAAUUCCUGGUGUAGCGGUGGAAUGCGCAGAUAUCAGGAGGAACACCGAUGGCGAAGGCAGAUCUCUGGGCCGUAACUGACGCUGAGGAGCGAAAGCGUGGGGAGCGAACAGG
rnacentral:rRNA from 1 species